rnacentral:rRNA from 1 species
CCUACUGGAGACUUCAUUGAGGAGUAUUGGUCAAUGGGCGCGAGCCUGAACCCUCCCCUGCUCUUUCCUUCUUCCUUCCCUCCUUUUUUUCCCCUUCUUUUCUCCCUUAAUAAAGUGAGGCACGUGUGCCUUUUUGUAUGUACUUUAUGAAUAAGGAUCGGCUAACUCCGUGCCAGCAGCCGCGGUAAUACGGAGGAUCCGAGCGUUAUCCGGAUUUAUUGGGUUUAAAGGGAGCGUAGAUGGGUUGUUAAGUCAGUUGUGAAAUCCGGGGGCUCAACCCCCGAACUGCAUUUGAAACUGUUGGUCUUGAGUAUCGGAGAGGCAGGCGGAAUUCCUAGUGUAGCGGUGAAAUGCGUAGAUAUUAGGAGGAACACCAGUGGCGAAGGCGGCCUGCUGGACGACAACUGACGGUGAGGCGCGAAAGCGUGGGGAGCAAACAGGAUUAGAUACCCUUGUAGUC